CACAGACACUGGCAGACUCCAUUGGAGUUCUUCCCCUAGCCUGUUAGCAGGGUCUGCCCUGCCCACUAGAGCAUGGAUUUAAUUCAGCUCAGCCAGAGAAGGCAGCCUGCCCUAGGGACUGGCCCUACCCAACAGCAAGCCCUAAAGGCAACUUUUCCACCUUCAUAGAUGGGGUCCCUGGCAGGAAGAAUCAAAGUGCUUCACUCCUGAAAUCUAUGGUAGACAUUUAUUCUAUUAAUGGAUAAUAUUUUUGGUUGGGCUUUGCUGAUCAGUUUAGAUCUCAGCUCCCUUGUGCCUGAACACACAAGAAAUCGUUAAUAGAAAGAAAGAAAAAGCAAAGAAUAUUUAAUGUUUAGGAGACUGAAAUGAUGGAAGAGAAAACUGAGGUCCAGAGAGAUUAAGGAAGCUGCUAAAGACCAUUGGGCUGACUGAUUUCUUCUCAUACGGGGGACAUAGCUACAAACAGCUUUGGAGCUCAUAGUCUCAAAUGCUCCUUUCUGAGAGAAGAAAGAACUCGAAGCAAGAUUCACCACUCUGUUUUUAAAAGAUGGGGAAGAAUCCCUAUUUGACCUAGAUUUUGUCACAUACCCAUUGCCAAGACAAAUCACCAUGAGAGAGCAUUUAACUACCAGAAUUGGUCCAGUUUGAAUCAGGUGAUCACCUCUGGACAAAUGAUUAAAGUCAGGAGACGGAGUGAUACAAAAUGAUGGCAAUUCCUUUUUGAAUCCUAGAGUUUCUGAUGUUGGGGGUGGAGUAGAAGUUUUCUUCCUCUUCCAAAUGGAGGAAGGAAUUAUGGGUAAAAGAAACAAUGGAUGUGUUUGUCAAUUAUACUUCAAUAAAAAGUGUUUUUUAAAAAUU
rnacentral:lncRNA from 1 species